CCUACGGGAGGCAGCAGUGAGGAAUAUUGGUCAAUGGGCGCGAGCCUGAACCAGCCAAGUAGCGUGAAGGAUGACUGCCCUACGGGUUGUAAACUUCUUUUAUCAAGGAAUAAAGUGAGCCACGUGUGCCUUUUUGUAUGUACUUUAUGAAUAAGCAUCGGCUAACUCCGUGCCAGCAGCCGCGGUAAUACGGAGGAUCCGAGCGUUAUCCGGAUUUAUUGGGUUUAAAGGGAGCGUAGAUGGGUUGUUAAGUCAGUGGUGAAAUUUAGCGGCUCAACCGUAAAAUUGCAAGUGAUACUGGCUGUCUUGAGUACAGUAGAGGUAGGCGGAAUGCGUGGUGUAGCGGUGAAAUGCAUAGAUAUCACGAAGAACUCCGAUUGCGAAGGCAGCCUACU
rnacentral:rRNA from 1 species